AAGAUGACGACGAACAAGAAGAAAAAGAAGCAGCAAAAGAAGAGAAGAAGAAGAAGAAGGAGGAGAGUAGAAAAAAUGGCUGACAGAAAGAAGAAGGAAAAAAGAAGAAGAAGAAGAAGAAGAGGAGGAAGAAGAAGAUGAAGAAGAAGAAGAAGAAGAGAAAAUGAUAUGAAACAAUAAAAAGGGACAAAGUAUGGAGUCGAGGAGAAAUCUAAAGCAGUAGAACAAACACUGAUCCUAAUCUACGUACAAAGAAAAAGAAGAGGGGACAUGGAAAUCGAAGAAAGACAAUCAAAAUAAGACAAUUGUUGCCAAGGUGAUGCGGACUUGAUUGCAGAACAUUAAUUAGGAUGCUGAUGGAAGGUAAAUCAAAUUUUAGAACAUGUCACUGCAUCUUACCAGUGCAACUGGCACACUAUUCAAACGGAAAGAAUUUUCAGUGAGAAACGAAGAGAUGAAAUUGAGAGGAAGGGUAUGGUUCGUCCCUCCAUGUGGCACUCAUCGUACAGCGCCACCGCUACCUGCAAGAGUUGAUGGUCAAUGGUGAUGUAAAACAUUUACUUUAGAAGGUUGUUUUUGAUGCAUUCAAUAAAAAUUUUGCUAAGGAAUGGGGCAUGGAAAAUGAUAUAAGAUCAAUACUGUUAUAUCAGGCCCUUUUACAUGAUACUGCGUGAAUGGAAUUGCUUCUAGCUAUGCAGCUUGAAGCAAACAUUUUCUACUUUAUUCUUUCCUGUCUUCAUGCUUUCUUUCCAGUACUAAUCUGAAGAGAAGAAGCAUCCAAGACCACGACAAAAAUAGGAAUGUGGAAAAGUCAAAGCUGCAUUACUGCUCUCAAUUGCUAGUUGAGAGGUUACUGAGGCUACUGAUAUGUUACAUAUAUGUAUUGAAUUUUACUGGGCCAGCACUUUUAAGUUGUUACUCUCUCACCUUAAAGUUGCGUGAAGCUAAAUUAUUCCUCCUUUGCUUAAUGAAGGCACAUACAUUCUUUUGUUGCCCCAAAUUGCGCUACUACUGUGUCUCUAUGCUCAAAUCUUGAUCCUCUUUUGGGGUUGUCUUUUUUAGUUCUUAGAGACUUUUUUACGGGUUCAGCUGAUUUUGUAAAGAUUUGUCUUCCAUGUAUUGGAAUAUUUUGCGGUUGGCGUGUUGUGACUUCUCUAAGCAUUUGUAUUUGUAUUCUUACUCUUUCACGUAUAUCAAAGUCGCUUUAUGUACAACGUAAAGAUGCAUGAAUUACAGUGGGCUUAAGUACAAUGGAUUUGUAAAUAACUGUGUGGGAAAUGAAUAAUGAAAUUGGUGAUAAGAAUUUUAUAGUGAUGUACAGUAGAACUGACAACAUGCACAACUUCAUUCUACUUGUUAGCAUUUGAACUGCCGUUACUCUAAUGUCAUAUAAAUAAAGAGGAAAAAUUAUAUCUUCGUGAAUUGAUAUAAACUUACCCCAGAUGACAGUUAAUUGGGUUCAUUUGUUUGCUUAUAUUUGAUGUAGUGUUACUUACUUCAAGCAUCUCCUUUUAAUGUAAAUGCUAAGCCACUUCAACUAUGGGCAUACAGAAAAUGGGAGAUGAAAUUAUUUAACAGGGAAUUCUACAGGCUAUAAUGAAUUAUUCAAUUGCAGGGAAAUACAACAAUGACUAAAGAAUUAUGUUGUUGAAUACUGCACUAAGAGUUGAGAACCUCGAAUUUUGAAGAUGGUUUCUAGGAAAGACAACUGCAGACAGGUAUAUUCUCAUUCUAUAACUUAGUAAUUUGAUUUCUCAAUCUGGUGUUCAUCUGCUAACAAUAAGGUGAUCAUGAUCCGUUCAUGUUUUACAUAAAUGGAGAGGCGAGGGAAAUCUUGCUUAGGAGUUAAUGAAGGUUGCUUGAAAUUGUUGUAACUUUAAUAUGAACUCAUCUACCUUAUUGUAAGCAGGACUUCGCAACAUAUUCAGAGGCAUGACAUGGUGAAGCAUUGGAUCACACUCAACAAACCUUAUACAUAUUUAUAGUACAAGGUUAUGAUCUCGACAGCCAGUCAUCGCAGGGAAAAAGAGUACACAUAUCUGUUAAUACACAUUUCCGGCUGCCUCAUUGAAAACCUUACCAGGAGGGACAAAACCUUGGUAAGACAAAAAGAGUGCAACGUGUAUUUUACUCCUCCUGAUUAAAGCAUUGCUUGAUCCUUGACGAUGAUGUAUUGUUAUCUUGAAUAUCAACUUAUUGUAUGUUGAGGUUGGCAGUACCUUUAUGAUCAAAUCUGUCAAAUCAUCAUUUGAACGA